rnacentral:rRNA from 1 species
GAUGAACGCUGGCGGCGUGCCUAACACAUGCGAGUCGAACGGAGUCCAGCCUUUAAGACCUUCGGGUCAAAGAGGGGAAGACUGAGUGGCGGACGGGUGAGUAACACGUGGGCAACCUGGCUCAUAGAGGGGGAUAACAGAGAGAAAUUUCUGCUAAUACCGCAUAAGCACACACUGCCGCAUGGCAGAGGGUGAAAAGAGAAUCGCUAUGAGAUGGACCCGCGUCUGAUUAGCCAGUUGGCAGGGUAAGAGCCUACCAAAGCGACGAUCAGUAGCCGAUCUGAGAGGAUGAACGGCCACAUUGGGACUGAGACACGGCCCAAACUCCUACGGGAGGCAGCAGUGGGGGAUAUUGCACAAUGGGGGGAACCCUGAUGCAGCGACGCCGCGUGAGUGAAGAAGUAUUUCGGUAUGUAAAGCUCUAUCAGCAGGGAAGAUAAUGACAGUACCUGAAUAAGAAGCCCCGGCUAACUACGUG